AGGAGGUUGGCUUAGAAGCAGCCACCCUUUAAAGAGUGCGUAACAGCUCACUGGUCGAGGGUUCCUGCGCGGAAAAUAAACGGGGCUCAAGUCCGUUGCCGAAGCUGCGGGAUUCCAGAGUAAUUCUGGGAUCGGUAGGAGAACGUUCUCAGGGGAUUGAAGGUAGAUUGGAAGGUCUGCUGGACCGCUGAGAAGUGCGAAUGCCGGCAUGAGUAGCGACAAUCCUGGUAAGAAUCCAGGACACCGGAAGUCCAAGGUUUCCUACGCAACGCUGAUCGACGUAGGGUUAGUCGGUCCUAAGGCGAAGCCGAAAGGCGAUGUCGAUGGACAGCAGGUCAAAAUUCCUGCACCACUUAACUUCCGUUUUAAAGUCUCGGGGGGACGCGGAGAGCUAGACGAAGCAUGCCUAUUGGACAUGGUGUGUGUAUUCCUGCAGGCGAGCUGUGGCGUCAAAAAUGCCGUGGUGUUUGAGCUGAGAGGAAUGCGAACCCUUAGGAACUCCUUCGGGAACUUCGUUGAUGCUGAACCGCCUAGAAAAGCCCCGAGUACAAGGAAACGAGUGACCGUACCGCAAACCGACACAGGUGGACAGGGGUAAAUGCCCCCAGGUGACCGGGAGAACCAUCGUUAAGGAACUCGGCAAUCUAACCCCGUAACUUCGGGAUAAGGGGUGCCGCUGACGUAUUAGGAUUUACUCCGAAAAGCAUUGGCGGCCGCAGAGAAUAGGCCCAAGCGACUGUUUAUCAAAAACAUAGGUCCGUGCCAAAGCGCAAGCUGAUGUAUACGGGCUGACGCCUGCCCAGUGCCGGAAGGUUAAGGGGAGGAGUGAGAGCUCCGAACCGAAGCCCCGGUGAACGGCGGCCGUAACUAUAACGGUCCUAAGGUAGCGAAGUCCCUUGUCGGGUAAGUUCCGACCUGCACGAAAGGCGUAACGACUUGGGCGCUGUCUCAACGGUGGACUCGGUGAAAUUGCAGGACCCGUAAAGAUGCGGGUUACCCGCGGCAGGACAAAAAGACCCCGUGGAGCUUUACUGCAGCUUGGCAUUGAAUCGUAGUUAAUGGUGCGCAGGAUAGGUGGGAGGCUUUGAAAUUCUGACUUCGGUCAGGGUGGAGCCGUCGUUGAGAUACCACUCUCCAUUAAUAGCGGUCCUAACCUUUUUUAAGGGACAUUGUCUGGCAGGCAGUUUGACUGGGGCGGUCGCCUCCCAAAAUGUAACGGAGGCGCCCAAAGGUCACCUCAGGCUGGAUGGAAAUCAGUCUUGGAGUGCAUUGGCAUAAGGUGGCUUGACUGCGAGACCUACAAGUCGAGCAGGGACGAAAGUCGGGCAA
rnacentral:rRNA from 1 species